rnacentral:lncRNA from 1 species
CACAUCGCGUAAUUAGACACGCAAAAUUAUCCCUGCAACGCAGCCUAGUGUAAAAAUGCAGCAGUUUUAUCCCCCUAUAAAUAGGACACUUGUACUUGAUGUUAUACACCUUGGACGACUUUGAAAUUUGGAGAGGGGAUGGAAAACACUUCAAUUAGAGUUUUUCUUCUUUAACUUUAGCUUUUUAAUUCUUCAAUUAGAGUUUUUCUUCUUUAACUUUAGCUUUUUAAUUGAUUUUAUCAUGUAUUCAUAUAUCUUGAUUACAGUUAUGUCUAUUAGUGGCUAAAAGCCCUCUUUCUGGAGUUAAAGGCAAGAACAUGAUUUCUAUUGUUCGAAAUUGAAUUUGGUUAAUUUAUUUAUCAUACCAUGUUGUUUAUUUACCCUUUUCAUCAUUAUGAUAACGAUUUUCGAUCCUUAGGAUAUACUUAUUGUCCUCUUUGUGAAAUCGGAGGACAGGGGGAAUAAGAUGAUAGAAUGCGGGGUAAGUAGAGUAAGGUUCUUAUUCCUUUAUGAAAUAAGAAAUUUAAAUUAGAAUAAGGUUCUUAUUCCUUUAUGAAAUAAGGAAUUUAAAUUAGCAUCUAGGAUAGAGAUAUACCUAGAAACCUUUUUUGGUUUACUAUGGGAUGAAAUAUAAAUGUGUUUAGCUUAGUGCUCACAUCCCAGCUCAAUGAUAUAGUUGUGAAUCUGAGUUAGAUAGGUGGUUAGAGAUCGGGAUACCAUUAUCAUAAAAUAAACCCCGUGAAUCAUCAACCAAGAUAAAUAACUUAACCAAUGAAGUUUGAAUGCAUAGUAUGAAUCCCGGGUCUCUAUUCACUGAUUGUCCAAAGUCAUUACUUUUACUCAUUGUUUAAUUUACUUUUAGUUAUAACUCUCAAACUCUCUCUUAGUUAUGUUGCUCUAAUUAAUCUCAAUAGUUAAAUUAGAAUUGGAUAGUUGAAUAACACAAGUCUUAGAGUGAUCGAUAUUCAGCUUUAUUUAAGGCCUCUGUAUUACUUGGUGAGACAACGUACACUUGUGUGUGCGGCGCAAUAGUCUUCACUUAUUCUUCAAUCUACUAAGCAAAUACCCCGUGUCAUGGUCUUCCAAUAAGCUUACUAAGAGCAUCUAUCCAUUUAGGAAAAGCUUAACCUCUGAUAUGUAUAUGGAUAUCAAUUUCCCUACGUACUUUCUCCUGUUGAAAGUUACCCUCCUGGAAUCUAAGCAUAUUCCUUUCUCUCCAAAUAGUAGAAUCCACCAUAGAAAAAGUGUUGCUUAUCACAGCACCUAGACCAGACGUUCAUUUAGCCUAACUAUUUUCCUAGGUCAACUUAAAUUGACAACAUCCAAUGGAUCUGUGGACUCCCUACUAAGCUAGCAUUCUCAACCAUAGUGCCUUAGUGAUGGACACUCAAAACAUAUGUGAUUUAUUAACUCCAUAUAAGAAUUAGAUAAGUUGCACUGUAAUGGUACAUGAAUAUCAAACUGCAGUCUAUCAGUUGUAGCAAGUCUCUUCCAGGCUGCUUGCCAUAAUGUGAAUUUAUGUGUAGGAUGGAUAGUUGGUUAUAGAGCAAUACUCUUUUACAACACCUUCUAAUAGUUAGGUAGCAAGCUUAUAUACAUCUUUUUGAUAAAGAACUUCCCAUUUAUAACUAUCAAUCUCAAUCUAGUUGAGAGAUUACCCUACAGGUUCCCAACAUCCAUUACAAACUUCCUCUUCUCUAAUAUCUUCCUUAGCACCCAAGUAGCAUUUGAGGGAAUAGGACAUUCUUCAGCACUUAUCCUUUUCUAUAGUAUUCAUUCAGCUAUUUUAUCCAUAAGCAUUAUUUCUUCACAGUAACAACCCACAACAGUUUUAAAAUAGUAGAACAAUUCUAAAUUCCCAUAUUAAUAAUGUUGUGACCUCCUACAGCCUUUGGAAAACAAAUCUGCUUCCAUAAAAUUAAUUAUUUCCUUGAUCUAGCAGUAGAGCCAGUCUAGAGGUAAGUCCUACAGACCUGAUAUUUCAACUUUAGAAUUCUCUUAGGCAGCAAAAAGAUUUGAGUCCAGUAAAUUUGAACACUAAAUAGGACAGAUUUGAUAAACUGUGUUUUGCCUGCAUAAUGGAGAACUUUUUCUGACCAGCACCUGAUUCUCUCAUUAAUCCUCUCAACUAUAAGUAUACAUUGUGCAAUGAUCAAUUUUUUUAGGACAAGGGUACCCCAAAAUACUUAAUGGGAUUUCACCCUAAUGGUAUCCUAAUAUGUUCAAGCUAUCUUAUUUUAAAGUAGGUUUGACCCCAUCUAUGUUUAUAGAACUUUUCACAAUAUUAUCUUUGAGUCCUAAGGCAGAAAAGAACCUGUUAAAAUCAUCCUGAAGUAAUUGAAUUGAGGUUAUAUUAACCUUGAAAAAUGGUAAAAGAUCAUCUAUAAAGUAGAUGUGCACCACACCUAAUUUUUUACAUGUGGGUUGGUAUGGAAAUACUUUAUUAAGACCCAACUAUACAAGCUCUCAUUGAAAAUACUCCAUUUCCAGCACAAAAAGGAGAGGGAACAUGGGGUCUUCUAGCCUUAUACCUCUCUUCCCCAAAAAGUAGUUAGACCAUAAAAUAGCUAAGGGAAUAAACUAUUGAGAUGAUACAUUCCAUUAUCUAAAUAAAUUUUCAUGGAAACCCCAAUUCAGCAAGAACACUUUGCAAAAACCUCCAUUCAAUUAAGUCAUAGGCUUUCCUUAAGUCCACCUUCAUCACACAUCUUAUGGAUAAGCCUCUCCCUCUAUUCCACAUUAAUACAUUACUAAAUAAAAUAUUUUCUAUAAUACUCCUACCUUCAAUAAAAGCGGGCUGAGUAGGAUAAAUGACAUGGCCGAUCACCUGUUUGAUCCUAUUUAACAAGACCUUUGUAACAAUUUUAUAGACUAUUGUACAGUAAGCUAUAGGUCUCCAAUCUUAAACCUGGGAAGGUUUAGGGACCUUAGGGGUAAGAGUAAUUGUUGUAACACUAAAAGCCUUCGUCAUAGCACCUAUCUUAAAGAAUUAUUUCAUUAAAAUGAGGAAAUCAUCCUUAAUAACUGACAAGUUUUGAGUAAAGAACUCUGCAGGGAAUCCAUCAACUCCUGGAGCUUUAUCUGCUAGUAAGCUUUUAACAGAAUCAAGAAUCUUAAUUUCUAUCAUAGUAUCCACUAAGCUGUAUUUUUUAGUAUAAGAUAAUCAUUGUCCAUCACUGAUAAAAGCAAAAUUUGGGAAAGGUAGAAUAUCUGCUUUAGACCCCAUCAAACUAAAGAACCUUAUAAAUUCAGCCUCACCAAGCUUUGGAUCCUACAGUUUCCACCCCAAUGAAUCAAGAAUUGAAGUUAUUGCAUUCCUACUGGCCCUGAUCUUCACUUAAGUAUGGAAAAACUGAGUGUUAGUAUCACCACAUGCUAUCCAAUUUACCCUUGAUUUCUACUGUAACACAUUUUCCUCCACUUCACUCUAUUUCUUGAUAUCACCAAGCAAUCUUUUCUCCUGUUAUAUUAGACUGGGGUUCAGAAGACUAUUGCAUGAUAAAUCCCAUGUAAUUUCCAACUCACGCCUUUCUUGGGCCAGCUUUUGACUUCAAGAGACUAUAUGAGUAUUCAACUUAUUUAGGCAUUCAACUUAUUUAGGCCAUACUUUAUAGCUUUCAACUUUUUCCACAAUCUAUUUAUAUAGGUUCCAGUUUUCUUCUGGGGUCAUACAGUCUAUAAGAUGCUCUCAAAGUUUUGAUGGUUUAGCACUACUUUAAAUAACUUAAAAGGACUUAUAUUAGAAUGGAUAGGUGGGCAAACCUGGAAAAGAAUUGGAGAGUGAUCAACAUUCCAAGGAGCAUGUAGUCAACCUCUAGAUGAAUAUAAUUACUCAUCCACAACAUGUUGCCAAGUCUUAUCAAUUUUGGAAUAGACCCUACUAUUGUCUUGUUGCUUAUUACAGAAGGUGUAGUGACACCCUAUAUCCCUAAGGGUUGUAAGCUACAAAUUAUCUGCACGGUGUUGAAAGUCUUAAGACUCAGUUGGUAGGAUUUAUGAGCCUAACCUAUCAGAAUUAGUCAGAACAUUAUUAAAAUGUACAGCCAAUAAACAACUACUUCAGAUUAUAACACCUAAAGCUAUUAACUCCUGCCAUAAUUGUUCUCUUUGAACUAGUCCAUUACUAGCAUAGAUUACAUUGAAUUUAUCUUGAAAAUCAAUAGCCUUGUCACUAAGAAAACAGGGGACAACUUGCUCUAAAACCAAUUGUAUCUGCACCAGCGCUAUGUUUCUCCAUAGGAGCCAUAGCCUACCAUUGUAUGUUAUAGGAUAGUUGCAGCAAUGAUCUCAAUUAGUAACUAUUUUGCUAAAGAUAUUUUGAGCUCUAUUCUUUGUUACUGUAAUCUCUAUGAUCCCCAUUACAUCAACUUUAUUAUUAUUUAGAAAGUGCUUCAACUCCUUCUGUUUUAAGGGCUGGUAUAUCCUUCUAAUACUCCAUGUUACAAUUCUCAUGAAGGGUGAAGACCCAAGGGGUCGCUGGUAAUUGAAAAAGUAUCCACUGCUAAACUUUAAAAGCGGUUAAGCACUAGUAUUGGGGGUUGCAAAUAAGAUUUUUGUUGGGGAGCUGUCUGCACCAUUUCAAUAGUGGUUGGUCUUUUCCUAUUCAUUGAGAAUUCAGGAGAUUCCUUAGAAGUUGUUGCCGGUUCUUGUCCCACUUAGUGAUUCACUUUCUCAACUGGUAAUACCAUUCUUCUUUUCCAUAAGGGUGAUUUAGGUUUCUAUUCUUUCAUUUCUUCUUCUCCUCCUCCUUAAACUCUAUGUCCUCAUCUCCUUCUCCCACAUUAUUCUGAUAUUCCUUCGUAUCAUGACCAAAUUUCAUAAAAUGCUUGCAAAACUAUGGCCUCUAAUCAGAUUCCAUAGUUUGCUGAAAUUCCCCAUAAGGGAUGGAGAUGUCAAUUAUCUCAACAAGCACCUAGGAAGCAUAAACUUCCAAGAAUAUGUGUGCAUAUGAGAUCCUUGUAAUGGAUGUUGUAAAGUUAUUUGUAUACAGGGGCCUUCCUAUCGCACCAGCAAGUUUAAUGAAAGAGUCACUAGACUAAUACCCUACCUAGAGCCCUGGUAUGGAGACCCAUAGAGGAACGGUAGAGAAAUAAUCAGUGUUGAACUCAAAAGUUUAGCACCCAACGUUGGAAAACAAAGGGUUGGUUUUGGAAAGUGUAAGGGCCUGCCUAUAGAAUUUGCUCACUCUAUUAAGUUGAUUCAAAAUGAAACAAAAAUAUCCCUCAUCAUGAAGCACAAUUUUAGUGAUGCUCUCUAUUUUCUAGAAAUUCCUAACAUAAUUCUCCAUUGUUUUCAUUUAAGGGGUAUCUCCAACCACAUAAGCAGUAAGGGCAGAGCUCAACUAAUUCUGAAUAUUUAAAUAUAACUUUGCCCUCCAUACAUAGUUGGAAGAAAAUAGGAUAGAGAUUUACCUCGUUGUUCUAAUUUAGUAGCUUCAUGUCCUGCUGGUUUGGUGUUGUUUUUGUGGCUUUUGGGGGGUUAUUAGAAGCAAGCUGCAAAAUUUCAAUCUAAAAAUAGCUAUUUGCAAUUCUAAUAAAAUACCCCUAUAAGGUUUUAACUGGAUAGUUGCAGGAGAGACCGAAUCUAAACUUUAACCUUCAUCUUCUAUGGCAGCAGAUUGAAAUUGAGCUAGGAGAUAUCUACAGAAGGUGAUUAUAGAGUGGCAGCAAUCUCUUCCAAUGAUCGGUGUAAUCAAUUUCCCACUCGAGCUUAAGCCUUUUCCUGAAUAACUCUAUUUUCCCAUGUUAUUUUCCAAUCAUUUCAUGUUAGCUUUCCAUGUUAAGAUGUGUUAAUAAAAGGUAAUGAUCCUGCUUAGGAUGAUUGAUUUUAUUUAACUAGUAGUGAAUGUAUAAAAUUCAUAUGAUGCCAUGCAUGUUAUAUCGAUCAUGUGAUAGAUAGCAUCUUAUAAUUGUGGUUUGAAAAGGUUGGGAAUAAAAUACAGGUUAGGGGAAAUAAGGUAGAGAUUAUGUCCCAACCUAUUAUGCUAUAGCAGCCUACAUGUCGUUAUCCCUGCACCGCUACAGCGGGAAAAUUUCUACUACGGCAGGGUCGCAGUAGCAAGAUAGUGUCUGCUACCCUUAUGCUAAAACAAUGUUUACCACCCUUAACCCAAUGUCCCUAACCUUAUACCCCUGAAUUUUACCAUCCAAUGACAAUGACCUUUACUUGUUCAUCUUACAUAUAAAUCCAUGCCACAAUAAAUACAAUUAAAAUAUGAGGUAAUACAACCACACUUGCAUUUCAAACAAGUCUUUUUACAUAAUCUCAUUUUAGCUGAUUAAGAAACUUGUAAUGCCAUCUAACAAGUCAAUACACAAAUCAUGAAUUAUAAUAAGUAGUCAAAGAGGCAGCUAAAUAUGCACAUAUGAACUAAAUUAAUUCUCAACUUUAUUCAACCAUCACCUACCCUUUUGUAUUAAAUAUAAUAUCCGUUUAGAAUAGCACAAAGAAUAAGUACACACACAUAUAGUCUUAGAACUAACCUUAGACUACAAUAUCUACAAAAUCAUACAACCAUUCUAUGCCACACUUCAUAGUUUCCAAUUUCUUAUCUUAUUUAUAGUUCCCUGCCAUUCACUAAAUCAAUCCAUCGAACUAAGAACAGGACAUUAAUAUCUAAACUACAAACACCUACUCAUGUAUCCACACCACAUUACCUUAACCAAAUAAUUCUGCUCAUUAAUCGAGUAAUUGAGCACAAAUAAUAUACAAAACUCAUUCAAGAAAAUUUAUCUUAUUCUUACAACCCAAAUAUAUUGGUUGUAUCCAUCCAAACACCUUUCCCGCUGCCAACACAUGGAAUCUUCCAUCAAUAUAUGUGAUGCAUACGUUUUAUAGCACAGGUCUGUGCUACUCAAUUAAACCUAGCCUACCUGGACAUGAAAAAGUUGAUAUGGAGAUAUGAACUUGAGAUUUUGGCUCCGUUCUUUUGAUUUCCAAAGUGAAAUCCAUGAGAAAGAAUUAGGUUCUACUGUGUCCGAGCAUACUUCUUCUUCUUCAUUGCUCUAGAGCUAUAAGGCCACCCUAGGGUUUUUUAGAAUAAAGCACAAUCCUCUUUUACAAUUUAAGAAAGGACGAACAAUAAAGAAAAAUUGGGACUAUUUCUAGUUCUUGAUGUCCUGCUAUAGCAGCCUGCAGGCUACUACCACGACGUCUCUAUAUUGAGAUGAUGUGGGCCACCCUAUAAAUUCUUAUUCUAAAAUUAUAUAACCAAGAGUUUUAUGCAGCUAUUUCAAUGGUAUUUUGAAUUUCCCAUACCUAUGGCCCUGUAGUGAUUCGAGCGAGGAAUUAUGGUAGGUUAUGGUUUAUUUGUAGCAAAAAAAAACUUACUUAAGUCUAUGCUUGUAAGUGUUUUUAAUUUCUUUUAGACAGUACUAAAUAUUAUUGAUUGUAUUUGUGAUUCAUUGAUGUUAAUGUUGAAUAUUAUAAUGUUAUAGAGUUGAAUUGGAGAUAUUGAUGAUGAGAAGGCGAUAAUGAUGAUAGUGAUGUUGAGAAUGAUCUUGAUGAUGAGGAUGAUAUAAUUGAUGAUGAUAUUAAGAUCAUAGUAAGUGAUACUUACAUCUUGCAUGCAUGUAUUCAUCAUAUGCAUUGAACGGAUAUUCAUACUUAUAUAUGGUGAUAGGUCUUGUGGAUGAAUUUCACUAAGUGUAGAAUAUGUACUUGUGAACAUAUAUUCCUCCUCAAGUGUAGUGUCAUAUCUAUGGUUGAUUUUCCUUUAAGUUCUACCUUGAUCGUUGUUACAUAAUUUUUGUUUGCCUAUUUGUAUAGUAUUGAGUUGGGUCGACCUAUGAUGCCUAAUAGUACUUAGUUAAUGUACUGAUGCUACCUGUGCUCAUUUCUAAUUGAGUGUAGAGUGUGUUCCAGCAUUUGAGAGGAGACCUCAACUCUAACCAGCAGUUGCAGACUUUGAUUCAAAGGUGAGCAUCAUGACCAUGAAGUCAUUGAAUCUUCUGACUUAUGUUUAUGUACUUUGUUCCAAGACUAAAAUAUUCUUGUACUUUCUUUUAUGUUUUGGAUAAUCUUUUAGACAUAAUUUUUGACAUCUUAGUUGUUCUUAUAUGCAACUUUAAGUCCUGUCUUUUGUAAUAAAUAGAGAUAUUCC